rnacentral:rRNA from 1 species
GUGGGGAAUAUUGGACAAUGGGCGAAAGCCUGAUCCAGCCAUGCCGCGUGUGUGAAGAAGGUCUUCGGAUUGUAAGGCACUUUAAGUUGGGAGGAAGGGCAGUAAGUUAAUACCUUGCUGUUUUGACGUUACCGACAGAAUAAGCACCGGCUAACUUCGUGCCAGCAGCCGCGGUAAUACGAAGGGUGCAAGCGUUAAUCGGAAUUACUGGGCGUAAAGCGCGCGUAGGUGGUUUUGUAAGUUGGAGGUGAAAUCCCCGGGCUCAACCUGGGAACUGCCUCCAAAACUGCAUGACUAGAGUACGGUAGAGGGUAGUGGAAUUUCCUGUGUAGCGGUGAAAUGCGUAGAUAUAGGAAGGAACACCAGUGGCGAAGGCGACUACCUGGACUGAUACUGACACUGAGGUGCGAAAGCGUGGGGAGCAAACAGGAUUAGAUACCCGAGUAGUCC